rnacentral:rRNA from 1 species
UACGUAGGGUGCGAGCGUUAAUCGGAAUUACUGGGCGUAAAGCGCACGUAGGCGGUUUUUUAAGUCAGAUGUGAAAGCCCCGGGCUCAACCUGGGAAUUGCAUUUGAAACUGGGAAACUAGAGUGUGUGAGAGGGGGGUAGAAUUCCAAGUGUAGCGGUGAAAUGCGUAGAGAUUUGGAGGAAUACCAGUGGCGAAGGCGGCCCCCUGGCACAAUACUGACGCUGAGGUGCGAAAGCGUGGGGAGCAAACAGG